UUUGGGGAAAUGUACAACAAUACCAUGUCAUAUUAAUUACCAUGAUGAUGAUGGAUCUCCUUAUCUGGAAAGGGAAAGAUAUGACGUGUUCAUUUCUACACAUUGGAUGAGAUAUGAAGGUUGUUAUUUUAAUUCCUCGUAUACAGACACGAACAACAUGAAACAACUAAAAUACAAUUCACCAGGUCGUUGUUCAAUAAAAUGUGAAUCGUCUUCAUAUUUCGGCGUGAAGAUGAACACACGCGUGUGUUUAGGAGAUCAAAAUUGGUCAAACAUGAACACUAGUAAAAUCUGUAACCAUUCAUGUACAGAUCAGUGGACGAAUGCUACAUGUGGAUCAAAAGACAACUGGUACUUUGAUGUGUAUAAUCAGAUGAAAGGUAACAUAAAUCUAGAUUAGU